GACCCUGGUCACCGUCUCCUCAGCCACCACAAAGCGCCCUUCCGUCUUCCCUCUGGCUUCUGGAUGUGUGGACACUGGCUCCAUGAUGACUCUGGGCUGCCUGGUCAAGGGCUACUUUCCCGAACCUGUGACCGUGACAUGGAACUCAGGGUCCCUGACCAGCGGAGUACACACUUUCCCAGCCAGUCUUCAGUCGGGCCUAUACUCACUCACCAGCAUGGUAACUCUGCCCUCCAGCCAGAAGAAGGCCACCUGCAACGUAGCCCACCCGGCCAGCAGCACCAAGGUGGACAAGAUUGUUGAGCCCAGCACCAAAGGCGGUAGCGACAAGUCUUCCACAUGUCCCACAUGUCCCACAUGUCCCAAGUGCCCACCUCCUAAUCUCCAGGGAGGACCAUCUGUCUUCAUCUUCCCCCCAAGACCCAAGGACACGCUCAUGAUCUCCCUGACCCCCAAGAUCACUUGUGUUGUGGUAGACGUGAGCCAAGAUGACCCUGAUGUCCAGUUCACAUGGUUUGUGGACAACAAACAGGUGAACACAGCUGAGACAAAGCCCCGAGAGGAGCAAUUCAACACCACCUUCCGCGUGGUCAGUGUCCUCCCCAUCCUGCACCAGGACUGGUUGAACCGCAAGGAGUUCAAGUGCAAGGUCAACAACAAUGCCCUGCCAGCCCCCAUUGAGAAAACCAUACGCAAAGUUGGAGGGGAAGCCCGGGAGCCGGAAGUGUAUGUCCUGGCCCCACACCGAGAGGAGCUGUCCAAGGAGAAAGUCAGUUUGACCUGCCUGGUCACUAGCUUCUUCCCUGAAGACAUUCAUGUGGAAUGGGCAAACAACGGGCAGCCGGUGGACCUACAGGACUACAAGACCACCCCACCCAUGAAGGACACUGACAACUCCUACUUCCUCUAUAGCAAGCUCCGUGUGGACAGGCACAAAUGGGACCAGGGAACCGUCUACACCUGCUCCGUGAUGCACGAAGCCCUGCACAACCAUCUCACGCAGAAGAACAUCUCCCGGUCUCCGGGUAAUUGAGUGCUGUGCCCAGCAAGCCCUCACUAACCUGCGGAUUCUCAAGUCCUGUAGGACCCUUUCCCCCAACACCCAUGUAAAUAAAGCACCCAGCACUGCCUGGGACCCUGCGA